CUUCUGAGUUUUGUAGUGCUAACAUCUAAAAUUGUACAAAAUUCGUUGUGCUUCAAAAUUUGUUAUGUAAAAAUGGACGUCGAUUUGGAAUCAGUUGCGGGACCUUUGAUCAGAUUUGGUUAUAUAAAAGUGUCGGUAGAAGGAGAUGAAGUAUCAGAGUUGAAAGUUUUGGACAUGUAGUUUGUUUUUUCUCUUUGUUGUUUUAUUUGGUUACCAAGAACACGUUAUAAAACACAAAACACAAAAACACAAAGACACGGUUAAAGAGAUUUUUUGCUGGCCUUGCAAGUUUUAACAUUGCUGGAAAAAUUUCUUUAUUGAAAAUGCAAAUGGGAUUUACCUUUAACAACGCCAAGUUCGCCCAUUUGAAGUUGGGCCUUAUUGGCAUUGGCAUCAUAGGGCAUAUGCAAGAAUGCCCAUAAAUAAUGGCAACAUUGAUUGGUUUGUGGAGCAAGGUCCGAGGACGACGGGUUCCUUGUGUUUGCUCCGCUGGUUCAAAUCCAAAUCAAAUUUGAAAACUAACAAAAGCUGAAAGAAGACAUCAUUCAAGUAACUCUGCAACACACACACACACACACACGCACACACACUCUCAAACACACACACGGACACAAAAUAUGAAACCAAGUUGGAGCUUAGCCUAAAAUUGCUCUUCUGCAUGAUUAUAAGCUUUAUAUAUUUAAUGUUGAUACAGAUUAGAGGCCAGGAGGCUGCCGAUAUAAAUAUAUUUAAUAGUUUUUAAACAACGCUGACCCAAAAGUAGUGUGGAUUAACUGUAAGUAAUAUUAUUUUAAUUGUAUUUAUGGCUAAAGGCAAAUUCCUUCAGUUCAAAUUUAGUUUCAUACACAAGAAUGUGGAGCAUGGUCCGAGCCCCAACUUGUGUGUGCUUCAUUUCCAAUUAGAAUGCAAAAAACACACAGGACUUUAAGCAAAUGCUUUAAUCGAAUUGUUGCGAUAGAUGAUAUUCCGAUCAAUAUAUAUAUACGUGUGUAUAUAUCUAAACAAUUCCAAUUGACAAAGCAGGGGAGCAAGGUCCGAGGAGAAAAUCCCUUGUGUUUGCUCUCGGUUAUAUAUAUAUAUAUAUAUAUAUAUAUAUAUAUAGAUAUAACAUAUCACGUUGUUCUUCAUUGGUUACAACAAUAGCAACAGACUCUCUGCAACUUGUACAUAAAUACAUAAUCGAACGAGAGAACGACAACAGACAGAAACAAUUAUAUAAAGAACUAGGAAGCCAGGAAAUACGCACACAACACAGACAACAUACAACACCACACACACCCACACACAUUAUAAACAAACCCCAACACCACCCAUCCCUCCCCCAAGAAUCACAAGAUCAGACAUCCCCCAGCCCCUACCCCCCUUUAAAAAUCGAACGCGAUGGGGAUACUUGUUGAUAUUGGGGACAAUUCACACGAGACAUAUUAACAAUUGAAUAAAAUUUUUAAAAAUUUAUAAAAACAUUUUCUUAAUCGUUGGUUGGGGCACAGACUCGGCAACUGGUGCGCACAGUUGGCGCGAAUUAUAAAUAUUUAUAAUAAUCUCCUGACGUCGUCGCAAAUUUUCAGUUCACAUCGCAAAACUACUCACGCCUGUGGAUUCGACUGCCCCCAGUAGUUCGUCUUCCAGCAUCAAAUUUAUAUAUUUGUUAUAAAUAAUUAAAAUAAAUGAAAAAACAUGAGCUUA